UGUAACAUGACAAAAAUAAGGAAUGCUACGACGUAGAACAUUAUUAAUACGUAAAUGUAUAUAAUAAUGUUUAUUAAGUACUAAAAUAUUGCCUGUUUAGUUUCUUUAAUUUUGAUUAUUUACAGUCUUCUUUUUGGGUCAUAUAUUGAAUUACAGACACGUGGCAAUGAGAGUAAAAGGUCACUUUACUGAUAAAGACUAAUAUACGCUGUAUUUAGAACAGAAUGGUUGUAUAAAAGAAAAAAGAAAAAGGCGAUAUGUUGAUGAUUCAUUAGAUUAAGGUAAAUGCUUCACAGCUUUGUUACAGUUGUUUACACUAGAGAUAGAGUGCAUGAAAAGAUAACCUGUAAAGGGUGACAUAGCAUUGCUAUUGGCUAUAGGAUUUUUAUUUGAGUGCAAGAUUUCAUGGUCCUAUGCCAAUGAGCAUUGCCACUGUCCAGGAACUUACUUGGUACAAAAUGGAAAUAAAAAAAAGAAGGAUUAUAAAAAAAUGUAUCGUACCUUUAUUAUAAUUUCUCGCGAAAUUCGCCUUCGACUGCUACAGUUUGAUUUGUUAUCGAAAUAAUCGAGCAUAACCGAGACAAAGGAAAAUUAAAAGUCUCGAGCAACA